GGGGUCGUGGCUCAGUGGUAGAGUGCUUGCCUAGCAUGUGUGAGGCCCUGGGUUCGAUCCUCAGCACCUCA
rnacentral:tRNA from 1 species